rnacentral:misc_RNA from 1 species
UCACCCCCCCCCUCUCGCUCUCCGCUCACUCUCCUUCCUUUUUUUUCUCUUAUUUUGUUUCUUUGUUUUUCUUUCACUUGUUUCUCCCAUCAGUUUCCGAGAAAACAAACAUCAUUUUCCUUUUCGUUUACUCCCAGAAAACACUAAAACCAAGCCACAAAACCCUAUCUUUAACGCAGGAAAGCUUUCGGUUUAUCAUGUAAGAUUACUACUGCUACUGCGUUGCUUUUGUUAGCGAUGAACACUUUGAAUAAGAUAUGCACGGCACUUACCGUUGUCUUCGCUUUCUGUUUGGUUGUUCUGGUGGCCGAGAUUCUCUAUGUGCUCUGGCGCCGGAGAAGAUUUCGGAGUCGGAGCCUUGCUAGCGGCGAUGUCGAGUUCAGCGAUGAGUCAUUCUAUCCAACGCCAUCAAAAGAGCUACUGUAUUUCUUCUGCUGGAGGAACCAGACCUCUCGCAUCGAACCUGAUGCUGAAACAACAACAGCCGCAGCAGCAGCAGCAGCAGCAGAGGCGGAAACGGCUCCACCACUCCCACAGAGUACGCCUACGGAUGCGGAUGUGGAUGAGAUGCUAAAGCGGCAUGCACUGUACGGUCCAUCUAGGGUUCUGUUCACUAUAAAAGAAGAGGAGAGAGAGGAGAUGGAGACGGAUUUUUCUUCUUCUGCAGAGAACGAAGAGAGGAAAAGGAAAAAGAAGACAAAGAAGAAAUCGAGGACCCUCUCUUUGGAAGAGGUUGCCGUUUCUGCUGUGGUGAUUGACAUAGAUGACUCGACGCCGUUUUGUACUCCGAGUGCUUCACCUCCGUACUAUACUCCGUCACCCUCUCCUGCUCGUGACAGAAAUUCGCCACACUCAUCAACUGAAAACAUCGCUCUAGAAGUAUGAUGUUUCCGCUGACAAAACGGUGUCGUUACUUGGUUAGCAUAGAGGAUCGCUCUUUAUAGUGAAUCAUACAGAGUAAUCUCCGGAAAAAAAGUUUCCCGCCGGAAACGAAUAGCCGGAGUGAACACAGGCGUUUUUUGUUUUUUUGUCUCCCAUGUAUUUCCCCGUAAUUUCAUUUUCAAUUCAGUAGUUCGUUCAGAUGUUGCCACGUCAGAGUGGGUGGUGCGUUCAAGAUAUGUGGCAAAAUCAGACUGUAGAACGUAGGAGGGAAAGUAGGAAGUAAUUUCUGAUUGCCGUUGGCGUAACGUAAAUAUAAUAAAUUCUGACCUAAUUAUUGUCAAUAGUUAUUGGCCUUUAUUAUUACUUCGUUUACCGAUGAGCUCAAUCGACGAUGGUAUUGUAAAAAAAAAAAUGAAAAUCUUUUGUUUUUGUGAAUGUUGUCG